CGCGUAGGCGGUGAGAUGUGUGUGAUGUGAAAGCCCCGGGCUUAACCUGGGAAGUGCAUCGCAAACUAUCUGACUGGAGUAUAUGAGAGGGUGGCGGAAUUUCCGGUGUAGCGGUGAAAUGCGUAGAGAUCGGAAGGAACGUCGAUGGCGAAGGCAGCCACCUGGCAUAAUACUGACGCUGAGCGCGAAAGCGUGGGAGCGAACA
rnacentral:rRNA from 1 species